rnacentral:rRNA from 1 species
AACGAACGCUGGCGGCAUGCCUAACACAUGCAAGUCGAACGAGACCUUCGGGUCUAGUGGCGCACGGGUGCGUAACGCGUGGGAACCUGCCCUUAGGUUCGGCAUAACUCCCCGAAAGGGGUGCUAAUACCGGAUAAUGUCUUCGGACCAAAGAUUUAUCGCCUUUGGAUGGGCCCGCGUUGGAUUAGCUAGUUGGUAGGGUAAAAGCCUACCAAGGCGACGAUCCAUAGCUGGUCUGAGAGGAGGAUCAGCCACACCGGGACUGAGACACGGCCCAGACUCCUACGGGAGGGAGCAGUGGGGAAUGUUGGACGAUGGGCGAAGGCCUGAUGCAGCAAUGCCGCGUGAGUGAUGAAGGCCUUAGGGUUGUAAAGCUCUUUUACCCGGGAUGAUAAUGACAGUACCGGGAGAAUAAGCUCCGGCUAACUCCGUG